rnacentral:rRNA from 2 species
AGCAGCCGCGGUAAUUCCAGCUCCAAUAGCGUAUAUUAAAGUUGUUGCAGUUAAAAAGCUCGUAGUUGAAUUUCGGGAUCAAUUAAUUGGUCGUGCCUAUGGUACGUACUGAUUUUAUUGGUUUCUCCCUUCUGACGAACCAUGAUGUCAUUAAUUUGGUGUCGUGGAGAAUCAGGACUGUUACUUUGAAAAAAUUAGAGUGUUUAAAGCAAGCUAACGCUUGAAUACAUUAGCAUGGAAUAAUGAAAUAGGACGUUUGAUCCUAUUUUGUUGGUUUCUAGGAUCGACGUAAUGAUUAAUAGGGAUAGUUGGGGGCAUUAGUAUUCAAUUGUCAGAGGUGAAAUUCUUGGAUUUAUUGAAGACUAACUACUGCGAAAGCAUUUGCCAAGGAUGUUUUCAUUAAUCAAGAACGAAAGUUAGGGGAUCGAAGACGAUCAGAUACCGUCGUAGUCUUAACCAUAAACUAUGCCGACUAGGGAUCGGAUGAUGUUAAUUUUUUUUAAUGACUCAUUCGGCGCCUUAUG